rnacentral:SRP_RNA from 1 species
GACCGGGGAUCGGGCGACGGCGGGUCGUGAACCCGCCAGGCCUGGAAGGGAGCAACGGUAGCGUCUUCAGCCGUGUGCCCGGUCUCCGGUCGAG